rnacentral:lncRNA from 1 species
CAGAAUCAAAAUUUGGAUUUUUUUAAGUCAAAUAUAUUUAUUCUUCACUCAUUAAUGAAAUAUUUAAAGACAUAUCUUCUGUUUUGUAGUAAUUGUGCAAAAUUUUAGAGAUAUAGGAGGAAAUGCAAAUUUUCAUAGUUUUGUGAGAGAGAAGUUAGGAACAACUCCACAGAGGCGGUAAGAAGUCUUGAUAAAAUAGAAGUAACUGAAGUUCAUUUGAGAUGUAAACUCAGAAGAGAGCAAACAGCCAGGUGUGGCUGAAUAUAAGGAUCUUGAAGGAGAAUAAGCAGUACAUUAAGCCAAAAUGACAGUAUGCACCAGGUGGCAUCAGUCAAGAUAGCUCUUUGGAGUGGUUUCAAUGCCAACCUGGUAGAUCAAUGGAUCCGUGAUUCUCAAGAAAGGAUGUAUGUAUGCACCACAGUUGGAGAGCAUGCUACCUCUUCUCCACCAUAGAUAUCCUCACCAUAGUCAGGCACAAAUAUAGACUUAAAAAUUCUUUGGAGUAUCUUUAAGUAAGAAAAUGCAAAUAGGCAAUAGAUACCAUCUAAAGAUUUUAAACAGGCAAAUAACUUGUCAUGGUUAUAUUUUUUUAAUAGAAAGCCUCAAACAUAUACAAAAGUAGGAUUAAUCAUAUAAAGAAUUCCCAUGUAACAUGUCAAAAAUUAUCAACUCAUGGACAAACUGUUUUCAUCUUUAUACCCACUCACUGAUCCUUUACAUAAUAUUUUAAAGCAAAUCACAUCAUGUUCUGCAUAAUACCUAGUUGUAUAUGCAUCCUUGAAAGAGGAAGAUUUUUAAAGCAAAACCACAAUACUUUAUUUUAUCUUAAAAAAACCCAAACAAUCCCUUAACAUCAGAUAUUCAGUGUUUUAGCCUGGUAGGGUGGCACGCACCUGUAAUCCUAGUGACUUUGGAAGCUAAGACAGGAGAAUUGCAAGUUUGAUGCUAGCUUGAGCAAUUUAGAGAGACCCUGUCUCAAAAUAAAAAUAAAAAGGGCUGAGAGGUAUAGCUCAGUGGUAAAGUGCCCCUUGCUUUAAUCCCCAGCAACCACCCCUAAUCUAGUGUUUGAAUUCUCCAUGGUCUCAUAAUUAUUUUAAAGUUUGAUUGAAUCAGGAUCCCAAUAGGGCCCACAUCCUGCAAUUGGUUGACAUGUUACUUGAAUUUCUUUUCAUCUGUAGGUUCCUUUCUCCUUCACUCUCCCCCAACAUAGUUCUUGUAAUUCAUGGGCAGAACAGGAUCUUUUGUCGAGAGCUUUUGACAGGCCAUACUCUUAUCCGCUCUGGCAAUCUGCCUUUGGGCUACUAUAAUAUGGACCUCUCCAUAUAUUUCAAAGAGGAAGAACUCAAUGGAGAUGUCCAGUGGGAGCUCACUCAUUCACUCCAUGAAAUUUAAGUAAAAUCUGCAUAUGUAAAUAUGUGUUUUCAGAAUCCACAGUUUUUUCAUGA